rnacentral:rRNA from 1 species
UACGUAGGGGGCAAGCGUUGUCCGGAAUCAUUGGGCGUAAAGAGCGUGUAGGCGGCUUUGCAAGUCCGUUGUGAAAACUCGAGGCUCAACCUCGAGACGCCGGUGGAAACUGCAAAGCUAGAGUCCGGAAGAGGAGAGUGGAAUUCCUGGUGUAGCGGUGAAAUGCGCAGAUAUCAGGAGGAACACCAGUGGCGAAGGCGGUGCUCUGGGCCGGUACUGACGCUGAGGAGCGAAAGCGUGGGUAGCAAACAGG